GGCAUGGGGCAGCUUACACGUGCAGUCGAGGGGUAACAUUGUGCUUGCACAGAUGACGACCGGCGCACGGGUGCGUAACGCGUAUAGAACCUACCUUUUACAGAGGAAUAGCCUUUAGAAAUGAAGAUUAAUGCCUCAUAGUAUUGUAGACUGGCAUCAGUUUAUAAUUAAAGAUUUAUCGGUAAAAGAUGGCUAUGCGUCCUAUUAGUUAGUUGGUAAGGUAACGGCUUACCAAGACAGCGAUAGGUAGGGGUCCUGAGAGGGAGAUCCCCCACACUGGUACUGAGACACGGACCAGACUCCUACGGGAGGCAGCAGUGAGGAAUAUUGGACAAUGGAGGAGACUCUGAUCCAGCCAUGCCGCGUGUAGGAAGAAUGCCCUAUGGGUUGUAAACUACUUUUAUACAGGAAGAAACACUGGUAUGUAUACCAGCUUGACGGUACUGUAAGAAUAAGGACCGGCUAACUCCGUGCCAGCAGCCGCGGUAAC
rnacentral:rRNA from 1 species